GCCUAACACAUGCAAGUCGAGGGGCAGCGAAGAGGUAGCAAUACCUUUGUCGGCGACCGGCGCACGGGUGAGUAACACGUAUGCAAUCCACCUGUAACAGGGGGAUAACCCGGAGAAAUCCGGACUAAUACCCCAUAAUAUGGGCUCUCCGCAUGGAGGGUUCAUUAAAGAGAGCAAUUUUGGUUACAGACGAGCAUGCGCUCCAUUAGCCAGUUGGCGGGGUAACGGCCCACCAAAGCGACGAUGGAUAGGGGUUCUGAGAGGAAGGUCCCCCACAUUGGAACUGAGACACGGUCCAAACUCCUACGGGAGGCAGCAGUGAGGAAUAUUGGUCAAUGGUCGGCAGACUGAACCAGCCAAGUCGCGUGAGGGAAGACGGCCCUACGGGUUGUAAACCUCUUUUGUCGGAGAGUAAAGUACGCUACGUGUAGUGUAUUGCAAGUAUCCGAAGAAAAAGCAUCGGCUAACUCCGUGCCAGCAGCCGCGGUAAUACGGAGGAUGCGAGCGUUAUCCGGAUUUAUUGGGUUUAAAGGGUGCGUAGGCGGCACGCCAAGUCAGCGGUGAAAUUUCCGGGCUCAACCCGGAGUGUGCCGUUGAAACUGGCGAGCUAGAGUACACAAGAGGCAGGCGGAAUGCGUGGUGUAGCGGUGAAAUGCAUAGAUAUCACGCAGAACCCCGAUUGCGAAGGCAGCCUGCUAGGGUGAAACAGACGC
rnacentral:rRNA from 1 species